rnacentral:rRNA from 1 species
GACGAACCACACGAACGUUAUUCGGAAUCACUGGGCUUAAAGGGUGCGUAGGCGGCGCGGUAAGUCGGGUGUGAAAUCUCGGAGCUUAACUCCGAAACUGCAUUCGAUACUGCCGUGCUUGAGGACUGGAGAGGAGACUGGUAAUUUACGGUGUAGCGGUGAAAUGCGUAGAUAUCGUAAGGGAAGACCAGUGGCGAAAGGCGGG